GACGUAGGAGGCGAGCGUUAUCCGGAUUCACUGGGCGUAAAGCGCAAGUAGGCGGUUGCACAAGUCAUGUGUUAAAGCCCCUGGCUCAACUGGGGGAGGUCAUGUGAGACUGUGCGACUUGAGGGCAACAGAGGCAUGUGGAACUCCCGGUGUAGCGGUGGAAUGCGUAGAGAUCGGGAAGAACACCCGUGGCGAAGGCGGCGUUCUGGACUGCAACUGACACUGAGGAACGAAAGCCAGGGGAGCAAACGGG
rnacentral:rRNA from 1 species